GUAGGUGAACCUGCGGAAGGAUCAUUAUUGAAAUAAACCUGAUAAGUUGCUGCUGGCUCUUUAGGGAGCAUGUGCACGCUUGUCAUUUUUGUAUCUUCACCUGUGCAUUUUUUGUAGACCUGAGAAUCUCUCUGAAUGCUUUUAGCAGUCAGGAUUGAGGAUUGACUUUGAUGUCUUUUCUUACAUUUCCAGGUCUAUGUUUUUUCAUAUACUCUAAUGUAUGUUUAUAGAAUGUAGUUAAUGGGCCUUUGUGCCUAUAAAAAUUUACAACUUUCAGCAACGGAUCUCUUGGCUCUCGCAUCGAUGAAGAACGCAGCGAAAUGCGAUAAGUAAUGUGAAUUGCAGAAUUCAGUGAAUCAUCGAAUCUUUGAACGCACCUUGCGCUCCUUGGUAUUCCGAGGAGCAUGCCUGUUUGAGUGUCAUUAAUAUCUAUCAACCUCUACGGUUGGAUGUGGGUUUGCUGGUCCUUCUUGAGGUCAGCUCCCCUUAAAUGCAUUAGCGGACAACAUUUUGCCGACCGUUCAUUGGUGUGAUAAUUAUCUACGCUAUUGACGUGAAGCAAGGUUCAGCUUCUAGCAGUCCAUUGACUUGGACAAAUUUAUUUUAUUAAUGUGACCUCAAAUCAGGUAGGACUACCCGCUGAACUUAAGCAUAUCAAUAAGCGGAGGAAAAGAAACUAACAAGGAUUCCCCUAGUAACUGCGAGUGAAGCGGGAAAAGCUCAAAUUUAAAAUCUGGCAGUCUUUGGCUGUCCGAGUUGUAAUCUAGAGAAGUGUUAUCCGCGCUGGACCGUGUACAAGUCUCCUGGAAUGGAGCGUCAUAGAGGGUGAGAAUCCCGUCUUUGACACGGGCUGCCAGGGCUUUUGUGAUGCGCUCUCAAAGAGUCGAGUUGUUUGGGAAUGCAGCUCAAAAUGGGUGGUAAAUUCCAUCUAAAGCUAAAUAUUGGCGAGAGACCGAUAGCGA
rnacentral:rRNA from 1 species